rnacentral:rRNA from 1 species
UUUGUAGGUGGCCGGCUAAGUCAGACGUGAAAUCCCUCAGCUUAACUGGGGAACUGCGUCUGAAACUGAUCGGCUCGAGUGCAGGAGAGGAACGCGGAAUUCCAGGUGUAGCGGUGAAAUGCGUAGAUAUCUGGAGGAACACCGGUGGCGAAGGCGGCGUUCUGGACUGCAACUGACACUGUAAAACGAAAGCCAGGGGAGCAAACGGGAUUAGAUACCCCGGUAGUCCUGGCCCUAAACGAUGAAUGCUUGGUGUGGCGGGUAUCGAUCCCUGCCGUGCCGAAGUUAACGCGAUAAGCAUUCCGCCUGGGGAGUACGGUCGCAAGGCUGAA